GCGAGGGUUGCCAAGCCAGGUCAAAGGCGCCAGGUUGAGGGCCUGGUCUCGUAGGAGUUCGCCGGUUCGAAUCCGGCCUCUCGCA
rnacentral:tRNA from 1 species